GCCCCCACCGGCUCUGUAUUUAAGUGAGCCCGCGCAGCCCCGCCCCUGCGCGUCCCGCCCCGCGCGCGCCACCGCGCCUGCGUGCCAGGACCGUUGCGGCGGGGGAGGGGCCUCGGCCGCGUGGCGUCCAGUGGUCCGCGGUACCUGCGGGCUGGGGCUGCCGCUUCCAAACGCGGGAUGGAGGUGGCCGGCUAAAAUGUCAGCUAAGAGGCAAAGACCCCUCCCUGCCUGUUUAUAAACACCACCACUUUCCCAUCUCCCAUAAAUGCCACCUCCAGGAGAGGAGGUCCAACUACGUACAUCCUCACAAAGUUGCACCCGGGUCAGGAAAUGCCUGGCUGCACCGCAGCGAUUGCAGUCUCCGCAGUGACUGACGCCCAGAGCUCGCUCAUGAAGUGCGGGGAGACACGAAGUAAUUACAUGAGGUGAGGCAUGAAUCAGAAUUAACUGAGGAGGAAGGAGGAGGAUGCCUGGAACUGACUCACUGAAGGGAGGAAAAAACUGCACAGAAAACUGACUCUCCAACAAUGCUCUCUGCCAAAGCCACUGUGACAGUAUAUUGUGUAGGAAAAGAUACCCUGGGCCAGAAGACAACACAUCUGGGUUCUGGUGGCAGCAUCUUUACUCUCUUCAUCUGUUUUCUUAUUUCUGAAAUAUAGGUUCUCCUUUGUAACUAAACCGCUCUCUCAAAUUGGUGGUAGUGAAGUCCAUUCACUUUGUGACGGUCCAGUGAUCUGGAAGGAAGCCUGGAACUCCUUGUGGCCUGAAUGUACUCAUAACCUCUCCCCUUGUGAGUCCCUGCCACAGUGGUGACAGAGAAACCACCCUGCAGGUCACUAGAAGGUGUGCAGUUGCUCCCCAUUACAGACUCCUAGAGAGACAGGUAUGAACCGUCGGUGGCCCUGAAACUCCCCUGCAGUGUUCUUCUACUAAAUCCUCUCUGACUAUAUGUGACUUGACCUGGAAGGUCCCCUUUUGUUUUGAGGACCUUACUGACUGUCAUUUCCAACCCUUCCUUCAGCUAACCUAUGUCAUAGCACCUGUGCCUUAAUAAUGAGUAAUGUAUGAGUCUGUCUCCCUUACUAGCCUAGAUAAGAAGCUCAAUAAAUGUGUAUGCAGUGGAUAAAGGAAUGCAUGAACAAAACAAUUCCCAUCCUUGAUAGUGAUGUUCAGGAUUUGCCCAAGACCCAAGUUUUCAUAUAUCUCACAAAUACUUUAACUCCUUCAAAAUUUUGGAACCUGUCCUACUUCCCCCACCAGGAGGGGCUCCCUCAUGCCUACUUAUCACUGUCAUGCAUUCUUCCUGAAGCUCUACAUAUGUUAUCUAAUCUUCACUACAACCCUGAGGGCUGGUUGAGGACACCUAAAACUCAGAGUUAUAAAGCCACUAGCCCAAGACUCAAUAUGGGGAGCAAAUGGUUUGGAUUCCAGGUUUGUCUGACUCCAAAGCCCAGUGCUCUUCCCACCAUACUACAUUGUCUCCAGAAAGAGGACUGGCAGGUGGUGAGAUCUGUCACCUGGUUGUCCCAUCGUCUCAGGUGCGUGUGAGUAGAACUCCAAGGCUUUCACCAAUAGGUAUCACCGUUUUGAGGCAUGAGAGCAGGUGGGUGGUAGAGUCUGUUUUGAAUGUGGCAGAAGAGCUUGAAAUGUCACCACCAGCUGUCAUGGAUGUUUAAAUUUCUUCUGGCUCAAGGGAUUGUUCCCCAUUAAAGCAAUUCAAUCUAUCUGGGAGGAGGAGGGCAUCUGCAGUAAGUCAUUUACAUCUUGUAUGUCUUAUCAAUUCAAGCCCAAAUGACAUAGGUUUGCAAAGUGACAUAUAUGUGACACAUAUGUCAGCCUAAAGAAAGAGGUAAACUGAGGCAAGCUCAAAGGACCAGAAAUUGAGUUUAUUUGGGAAUAGGGGAGGAAUUGCAAUUUGGAAAUUCAUGCUGUAGCGAGCUAUAAGGGUUUGGGGUGGACUUGUGAACAAGGAAUGCAAAGAUGGGAAAGUCUAGCCAGAGUCCGGGUGGUAUGUUCAUUGGCUGGAGGAUGGGGAGAGAUUCUUGUUGGAUGUUCACUGAUGAGGAGAUAAGCCCCAUCUUCUGUAAAUCAGCUGUUUGUGGGAAAUCAGUGUCUCAGUUCUUAAGUUCUGUUCUUCUGAGGGCAUGUGCAUGAGAUUCCUCAUAUAAUAUCCUCCAGUUCAACUUGAGGUUGCAGUCCUUUCCCAUGGUGUAGUUAUAUAUAGAGAGAAAUGUAUAUUAAUUAACAUUAAUAAACAUAUUCUUUCACAUAAUGUGGUUCUAGAGAGAUAAUUAAAUAUAUAUUAAUAUCAAUAAAAUAUUUUUUAAUUAAGACAGCCUCUUGGUAUCAUUCUCCUGGAUAUGUGUUAUGAGGAGAUGUGUUAAA